rnacentral:rRNA from 1 species
CCCUUAGAUGUUCUGGGCCGCACGCGCGCUACACUGAUGCAUUCAACGAGUUUUUCCUGGUCCGAGAGGAAUGGGUAACCUUUUGAGAGUGCAUCGUGCUAGGGAUAGACUAUUGCAAUUAUUGGUCUUCAACGAGGAAUUCCUAGUAGACGUAGUUCAUCAGACUGCAUCGAUUACGUCCCUGCCCUUUGUACACACCGCCCGUCGCUCCUACCGAUUGGAUGAUCCGGUGAGCUAUUCGGACCUUCGCUUCGUCGAUUUUCGGCUUUGUGAGGGAAAGUCUCGCGAACCUUAUCAUCUAGAGGAAGGAGAAGUCGUAACA